ACGAACGCUGGCGGCAGGCUUCACACAUGCAAGUCGAGCGAGACCUUCGGGUCUAGCGGCGGACGGGUGAGUAACGCGUGGGAACGUGCCCUUCUCUACGGAAUAGCCCCGGGAAACUGGGAGUAAUACCGUAUACGCCCUUUGGGGGAAAGAUUUAUCGGAGAAGGAUCGGCCCGCGUUGGAUUAGGUAGUUGGUGGGGUAAUGGCCCACCAAGCCGACGAUCCAUAGCUGGUUUGAGAGGAUGAUCAGCCACACUGGGACUGAGACACGGCCCAGACUCCUACGGGAGGCAGCAGUGGGGAAUCUUAGACAAUGGGGGCAACCCUGAUCUAGCCAUGCCGCGUGAGUGAUGAAGGCCUUAGGGUUGUAAAGCUCUUUCAGCUGGGAAGAUAAUGACGGUACCAGCAGAAGAAGCCCCGGCUAACUCCGUG
rnacentral:rRNA from 1 species